UGAAGAGCUUGGAGGCUUUCAGGGAGCGGCAAGGGAAUGUGAUCCAGGUUAUUGUCAGUGAGGUAAAGAUGCUGCAGUUCAUUCAGAUCCUAGAGGAUGAAGGAAAAAGAUAAAUACACAGUGUUCCCAUCUGCAGCACUGACAGUAGACAGCUUAACCAGGAAUGGACUUGGGGACAAAUCAAAAGAAGACUUUAGGAACAAAGGAAAUGGGACAGCUGUUCUCUGAAUGGAGGAAGUCCGGAGGGAGAGAGAUGCAUUCCAGGCUUUUAUUGACCCAGGUUAGUACUGCACUACAGUUCUUGCGUAUGGUGUCUACUUCACCAGUUUUGUGGAAAUCAGAUAAUUGUCCCUCUCCUGAACUUUGGAAUAAAAUCUGGAGAUUUUGAGACCUGUUAUUGGCUUUAUAUUCAGCUUUUGUGGCAGUUCUACCGAAAAUAAUAUUUUGGAGAAGAGUAUUUUCAAGAUAGAGUUUGUAAAUAGGCUUCAGACCAUAGAUAAUUUUCACUUGUUAUGGGAUUUGGGUUAUCUACUGCCAUCUCUCUGAAUAUUUGUGGGCAUACUUUAUGGAACUUACUAUUUUGGGAUUUGUGAUUUACUUUAUACUUUCUGAGGUGUUCUUUGUUGAUUAAUCACUGUAGCUGUUGGGUACCAAAGCAGAGGUAUUAAAUCCUAGUAUUUCUGUCUCUAGACUGUUAUCUCUCUCUUACUGUAGGAUGUUAUCUAGUUUUGCAGAUGCACAGUUGAAUGUCUACCAGUAGUUUCCUUGCCAUUGCACUAAGUCUGGGUUCUAGGGAAAUUUUUCCAAGUAGUUAGUAUUAUCUAUUCAGUCUCCUGCAGGAGUUGUGACAGUUAUAAAAAAAUAAAAAUUAUUGCAGUUAA